rnacentral:tRNA from 1 species
GCGGGGGUAGCCAAGCCUGGUCAACGGCGGCAGGCUCAAGACCUGCUCCCGUAGGGGUUCGUGGGUUCAAAUCCCACCCCCCGCA